GAUAUCAUGCCAAAUUUCCCCUGUUUUCUCAGCAACCAAACACGCAAUUUUCCCGGCCCCCGUGCUCCUGGCGCCAUUUUCUGCCACUCAACCCUCGCCAGUCCUCGCCUCUGCUAAGGUUUGAAGGUGAAAGAGACACUCGAAAAGACUAUAAUGCAGCCAACAAACUCUAUGAACCCAAUGACUCAUCCAAUGAUUCCGAUGAACCGCCCAAUUCAAUUCACACACACCAUGCCUCAGCCCUGGUUUCCGAUACUACCUUCAGCUCCGCCAUUGUCGACCGCUUUUUGGCAGAACACAAAUGUGCUUGAUAGCCUUCAAGAUCUACGCAACACAAUCGAUCUCGCAAAAGCUAUGAAAAAGGAGCUAGAGGGAUUGAUCAGGAUCAAAGAUGGUAAAGGGUCUGCGGUGGAUGUAGAUACUGGAUCAACGGAGACUUCAUUACUUAGCCUCCCUAGGUUUCUUGAUAAUAAUAAAAUUGAUUUGUUAUCGCGGGAGUCAUGUCCAUUGCAAGCUGCAAAUGCUAUAAUAUCAAAGUUAGGAGCUCAACUUAAGCCAUUUGGAGUUGCCACGAAUGAAACAAGUCCGUGGGAGGAAAAGUCUGCAGCAGUAAGAUUAGCUAAUAAAAUGCAGAAGUCCAAACAAAACAAAAAUUGGAGGAAAAGAAAGAGGAGGCGUAUUGCAGAAAUGCUUGCGAAGGAACAUGAGCAAUUUGACAAAGCUGAUCAAGAAGCUGACGAGUGGAGGGCUAGAGAGAUUGCAAAUGUUAUUGCAAAACGGAAGGUAGAAAAGAUGAAGGAAAUUGCAAAACUGAAAGCAAAAGAAGAGAAAAAGAUAUUAGAAUCUGAGCUUGAACUUGUGUUGAUUGUGGAGAAAUUGCAAGAAUUGCGGUCUAUCAGGAUCCAAAAAUUGAAAAAACAAGGCCAUUUUCUCCCAGAGGAGGAUGAUAAGUUCCUUGAAAAAGUUCAAGCUGCAGUUGAGGAAGAGGAGCGCCAAGAGAUGGCCGCAGCUGACACCGAUGCUGCUAAGGAGGCAAUUGCAACUGCAGAGGACUUUAGAAAAAUUAUUCAGACCCGCGAACCUGACUUAAAAGUUGCAAGUGGUAAUAACGGUCAAAAUGAGGAUAGUCAAGACCAGACAACUCAGAGUGAAAACAUAAGAGGCUCAAGUGCAGUCACUGGUGAAGAAUCUAGAAAGCUAGGAUCAGAAGGACAAAGUCAUGUUAGGGCAUAUGAUUCUGUGGCUGGUUUACCAAUUGAGUUUUAUCACUAUUAUCAUGGCAGCAAUACCGACAUGGGAACACUUAUAGAGGUUAGAAGAACAUGGGAUCAAUAUAUAAGACCAGGGGGAAGACAAAUACCAGGGCACUGGGUUCGACCACCACCUCCAGCAGAUGACUUAUGGGCAUCCUACCUGGUGCAGCCUGAAUGACUCUGUCUGAAUUGCUAAGUUUGUGGCCGAUGUUGUAUUAGGGUAUCUGUCGGAUCUUUAACAGUUAGCUGGCAUGGCGGAGAUUGGGAUUUCUGAAUCAUUUAAAGUUAAGCAGGCCGUAUUGCUCUCAGCAACCGAGGCUGCAGAGAUGAUUCUCAGAGUUCAUGAAACAAUCACUUGUGCCUCAGAAGAGAGAGAAUGGAAUGUGAAAACUACACCUAGCAAUUGGCUUGCCUAAAUGCAUUAGGUAAUGGCGUAAAAUCACGAGGCCUGAUCGCCUGCAGAUGGAAAGUUCGCCUUCAAUGAUGUUAUCUGAAUAUUUGAAACCCUCUAUAGUUGUCCUGGGCCUUUAAUGGGUGUCUUGCUUUUGUUGUUCUAUUUCAAAGUUCUGGGGUUUCAAAUUAAAGAUCAAAAGGAAUAGAAUUGAGCCUUUUUUAUUUAUAAGAUUUUUAAACUCCUUAUAUUAUUGAAAAUUAUAUUUAUGUAACAUUUGGUAUAUAACGUCUUUAUACAUUUUAUUAAAAUUAAUUUGAAGAAAAUUGUUGAAUUUCUAA